GACGAACGCUGGCGGCGUGCCUAACACAUGCAAGUAGAACGCUGAAGGAGGAGCUUGCUUCUCUGGAUGAGUUGCGAACGGGUGAGUAACGCGUAGGUAACCUGCCUGGUAGCGGGGGAUAACUAUUGGAAACGAUAGCUAAUACCGCAUAAUAGUAGAUGUUGCAUGACAUUUGCUUAAAAGGUGCAAUUGCAUCACUACCAGAUGGACCUGCGUUGUAUUAGCUAGUUGGUGGGGUAACGGCUCACCAAGGCGACGAUACAUAGCCGACCUGAGAGGGUGAUCGGCCACACUGGGACUGAGACACGGCCCAGACUCCUACGGGAGGCAGCAGUAGGGAAUCUUCGGCAAUGGACGGAAGUCUGACCGAGCAACGCCGCGUGAGUGAAGAAGGUUUUCGGAUCGUAAAGCUCUGUUGUAAGAGAAGAACGAGUGUGAGAGUGGAAAGUUCACACUGUGACGGUAUCUUACCAGAAAGGGACGGCUAACUACGUG
rnacentral:rRNA from 1 species